CAGUAGCCGCGGGAAUACGUAGGGUGCAAGCGUUAAUCGGAAUUACUGGGCGUAAAGCGUGCGCAGGCGGUUUGUUAAGACAGAUGUGAAAUCCCCGGGCUCAACCUGGGAACUGCAUUUGUGACUGGCAAGCUAGAGUCUGGCAGAGGGGGGUGGAAUUCCGCGUGUAGCAGUGAAAUGCGUAGAUAUGCGGAGGAACACCGAUGGCGAAGGCAGCCCCCUGGGCCAACACUGACGCUCAUGCACGAAAGCGUGGGGAGCAAACAGGAUUAGAUACCCCGGUAGUCCCUGUCUCUUAUAA
rnacentral:rRNA from 1 species